AACGAACGCUGGCGGCCGGCUUAACACAUGCAAGUCGAGCGCCCCGCAAGGGGUGCGGCAGACGGGUGAGUAACGCGUGGGAAUCUACCCAUCUCUACGGAAUAACGCAUGGAAACGUGUGCCAAUACCGUAUACGUCCUUCGGGAGAAAGAUUUAUCGGAGAUGGAUGAGCCCGCGCUGGAGUAGCUAGUUGGUGGGGGAAAGGCCUAUCAAGGCGACGCUCCAUAGCCGGUCUGUGAGGAUGAUCAGCCACACUGGGACUCAGACACGACCCAGACUCCUACGGGAGGCAGCAGUGGGGAAUAUUGGACGAUGGGCGCAAGCCUGCUCCAGCCAUGCCGCGUAAGUGAUGAAAGCCCGAGGGUUGUAAAGCGCUUUCACCGGUGAAGAUGAUGGCGGUAACCGGAGAAGAAGCCCCGGCUAACUUCGUGCCAGCAGCCGCAGUAAGAC
rnacentral:rRNA from 1 species